UACGUAGGGCGCAAGCGUUGUCCGGAAUUAUUGGGCGUAAAGAGCUCGUAGGCGGCUUGUCACGUCGGAUGUGAAAGCCCGGGGCUUAACUCCGGGUCUGCAUUCGAUACGGGCAGGCUAGAGUGUGGUAGGGGAGAUCGGAAUUCCUGGUGUAGCGGUGAAAUGCGCAGAUAUCAGGAGGAACACCGGUGGCGAAGGCGGAUCGCUGGGCCAUUACUGACGCUGAGGAGCGAAAGCGUGGGGAGCGAACAGG
rnacentral:rRNA from 1 species